rnacentral:rRNA from 1 species
UNUGACUUGAGUGCAGAAGGGGAGAGUGGAAUUCCAUGUGUAGCGGUGAAAUGCGUAGAUAUAUGGAGGAACACCAGUGGCGAAAGCGGCUCUCUGGUCUGUCGCUGACGCUGAGGCUCGAAAGCGUGGGUAGCGAACAGGAUUAGAUACCCUGGUAGUCCACGCCGUAAACGAUGAGUGCUAGGUGUUAGGCCCUUUCCGGGGCUUAGUGUCGGAGCUAACGCAAUAAGCACUCCGCCUGGGGAGUACGACCGCAAGGUUGAAACUCAAAGGAAUUGACGGGGGCCCGCACAAGCGGUGGAGCAUGUGGUUUAAUUCGAAGCAACGCGAAGAACCUUACCAGGUCUUGACAUCCCGAUGCUAUUCUUAGAGAUAGGAAGUUACUUCGGUACAUCGGAGACAGGUGGUGCAUGGUUGUCGUCAGCUCGUGUCGUGAGAUGUUGGGUUAAGUCCCGCAACGAGCGCAACCCUUAUUGUUAGUUGCCAUCACUAAGUUGGGCACUCUAGCGAGACUGCCGGUAAUAAACCGGAGGAAGGUGGGGAUGACGUCAAAUCAUCAUGCCCCUUAUGACCUGGGCUACACACGUGCUACAAUGGUCGGUACAACGAGUUGCGAGCCGGUGACGGCAAGCUAAUCUCUGAAAGCCGAUCUCAGUUCGGAUUGGAGGCUGCAACUCGCCUCCAUGAAGUCGGAAUCGCUAGUAAUCGCGGAUCAGCACGCCGCGGUGAAUACGUUCCCGGGCCUUGUACACACCGCCCGUCACACCACGAGAGUUUGUAACACCCGAAGUCGGUGAGGUAACCUUUUAGGGG